GUCCUUUAGAUAUUAAUUUAAGGUCUAACCUGCCCACUGAAUUAUUUUUAAAUGGCCGCAGUAAUUUGACUGUGCAAAGGUAGCAUAAUCAUUAGUUUUUUAAUUAAAAGCUUGUAUGAAAGGUUGGACGAAGUAAAAUCUGUCUCUAAUUAAAUUAAUUUAGAAUUUAACUUUUAAGUUAAAAGGCUUAAAUUUAACUAAAAGACGAGAAGACCCUAUAGAUCUUUAUAUCUUAAUUAUUAAAUUUAAUUAUGGAUUUUUUAAAUUUUAUUAGUAAAGUUAUUUUAUUGGGGUAAUAUAAAGAUUAAAAUAAUUCUUUUUUUUUAUUUACAUUAAUUUAUGAGUUUUAUGAUCCAAUUUUAUUGAUUAAAAGAUUAAGUUACCUUAGGGAUAACAGCGUAAUUUUUUUAGAGAGUUCUUAUCGAUAAAAAAGUUUGCGACCUCGAUGUUGGAUUAAAGAUUAUUUUAGGUGCAGAAGUUUAAAAAUUUUGGUCUGUUCGACCAUUAAAUCUUUACAUGAUCUGAGUUCAGACCGGUGUAAGCCAGGUCGGUUUCUAUCUUUAGUAAAUUAAAAUAUUUUAGUACGAAAGGACCAAUUAUUUAAUAUAUUAAUAUUUAUAAUUUUUGUUUAUUAUUAAA
rnacentral:rRNA from 1 species